rnacentral:rRNA from 1 species
UCGGGAAUUUUGGGCAAUGGGCGAAAGCCUGACCCAGCAACGCCGCGUGAGGGAUGAAGUAUUUCGGUAUGUAAACCUCGAAAGAAUGGGAAGAAUAAAUGACGGUACCAUUUAUAAGCUCCGGCUAACUACGUGACAGCAGCCGCGGUAAUACGUAGGGAGCAAGCGUUGUUCGGAUUUACUGGGCGUAAAGGGCGCGUAGGCGGCGCGGUAAGUCACUUGUGAAAUCUCUGAGCUUAACUCAGAACGGCCAAGUGAUACUGCUGUGCUAGAGUGCGGAAGAGGCAACCGGAAUUCUUGGUGUAGCGGUGAAAUGCGUAGAUAUCAAGAGGAACACCUGAGGCGAAGGCGGGUUGCUGGGCCGACACUGACGCUGAUGCGCGAAAGCCAGGGGA